rnacentral:rRNA from 1 species
CGCGGACUUCGGUCUGGCGGCGAGUGGCGGACCGGUGAGUAAUGUAUCGGAACGCACCCAGUAGCGGGGGAUAACUACUCGAAAGAGUAGCUAAUACCGCAUACGCCCUACGGGGGAAAGGGGGGAUCUUAUGACCUCUCACUAUUGGAGCGGCCGAUAUCGGAUUAGCUAGUUGGUGGGGUAAAGGCCUACCAAGGCGUCGAUCCGUAGCUGGUUUGAGAGGACGACCAGCCACACUGGGACUGAGACACGGCCCAGACUCCUACGGGAGGCAGCAGUGGGGAAUUUUGGACAAUGGGGGCAACCCUGAUCCAGCCAUCCCGCGUGUGCGAUGAAGGCCUUCGGGUUGUAAAGCACUUUUGGCAGGAAAGAAAUUGCAUGGGUUAAUACCCUGUGUAGAUGACGGUACCUGCAGAAUAAGCACCGGCUAACUACGUGCCAGCAGCCGCGGUAAUACGUAGGGUGCAAGCGUUAAUCGGAAUUACUGGGCGUAAAGCGUGCGCAGGCGGUUCGGAAAGAAAGAUGUGAAAUCCCAGGGCUUAACCUUGGAACUGCAUUUUUAACUGUCGAACUAGAGUGCGUCAGAGGGGGGUGGAAUUCCGCGUGUAGCAGUGAAAUGCGUAGAUAUGCGGAGGAACACCGAUGGCGAAGGCAGCCCCCUGGGAUGACACUGACGCUCAUGCACGAAAGCGUGGGGAGC